rnacentral:rRNA from 1 species
GGCGGCGAGUGGCGAACGGGUGAGUAAUACAUCGGAACGUGCCCAAUCGUGGGGGAUAACGCAGCGAAAGCUGUGCUAAUACCGCAUACGAUCUACGGAUGAAAGCAGGGGAUCGCAAGACCUUGCGCGAAUGGAGCGGCCGAUGGCAGAUUAGGUAGUUGGUGAGGUAAAGGCUCACCAAGCCUUCGAUCUGUAGCUGGUCUGAGAGGACGACCAGCCACACUGGGACUGAGACACGGCCCAGACUCCUACGGGAGGCAGCAGUGGGGAAUUUUGGACAAUGGGCGCAAGCCUGAUCCAGCCAUGCCGCGUGCAGGAUGAAGGCCUUCGGGUUGUAAACUGCUUUUGUACGGAACGAAACGGCCUUUUCUAAUAAAGAGGGCUAAUGACGGUACCGUAAGAAUAAGCACCGGCUAACUACGUGCCAGCAGCCGCGGUAAUACGUAGGGUGCAAGCGUUAAUCGGAAUUACUGGGCGUAAAGCGUGCGCAGGCGGUGAUGUAAGACAGUUGUGAAAUCCCCGGGCUCAACCUGGGAACUGCAUCUGUGACUGCAUCGCUGGAGUACGGCAGAGGGGGAUGGAAUUCCGCGUGUAGCAGU